rnacentral:misc_RNA from 1 species
CUGCCUGGGUGGAGUGCUUCGCAGACUCGCAGUGGCUGGCGGCCUUUCGUUGUCUCCAGUCUAGCCAUGGAGAGGGUUUCAUCAGCUCCAGAAAUGGAUGAUGUUAUCUCAACUGAUCAGUCAAGCAGAUCAACAAAAAGAAGGGCUAAAGUUUGGGAUUAUGUUGAUUCAGAGCUAGUAGAUGGGAAAGAGAAGGCGAUCUGCAAAUACUGUGAACCAAUGACAGGAAAGCGAAUGUUUGAUUCAGAUGAUGAAGAAGAUGAUUGGGAAAUUUGA